GGUCCAAUGGUCUAGUGGUAUGAUUGUCGCUUCGGGAAAUCUGCUUUCCAGGUCUGGUUCCAACCUGAUCAGAGAAUGUGACAGGCCCCGGGUUCAAAUCCCGGUUGGACCC